GAUGAACGCUGGCGGCGUGCCUAACACAUGCAAGUCGAACGGAAAGGCGCAGCUUGGUCUUGGCUUCCGGGGCGCGCGGGCGUGUAAUGCCUAUGAAUAUCCCUUGUCUUGGGGGCUAAUAUCCGGAAAUGGGCCCUAUUCCGGCAUGCGAUCAUAGCUUGAAGGUGGGGGUUCUUUGGACCCCGCGGUUUUUGAUGAGCCUAGGUCGGAUUAGCUAGGUGGUGGGGUAAGGGCUUACCAAGGCGACGAUGCGUAACUGGUCUGAGUGGAGGAUCUGUCACACUGGAAGUGAGACGCGGUCCAGAGACCUACGGGAGGCAGCAGUAGGGAAGAGGGGGCAAUGGGCGAAAGACUGAACCAGCGACGGCGCGCGUGUGAAGAAGGUCCGCGGAUUGUAAAACGGUCUUAGGGGUGAAGAACGGCUGUAGCAGGAGACCUGGCUGUGUUGACGGUACCGACAGAAUAAGCACCGGCUAACUACGUG
rnacentral:rRNA from 1 species